ensembl:snRNA U2 U2 spliceosomal RNA
AUCACUUCUCAGCCUUUUGGCUAAGGUCAAGUGUAGUAUCUGUUCUCAAUUUAAUAUCUGAUAUGUCCUAAAUUAAAAACAAACAAAAAAAAGAAUUAUUGUAAAGGGGAGAUAAGAGAAGCCAGAGAAUCCAU